rnacentral:rRNA from 1 species
GACGAACGCUGGCGGCGUGCUUAACACAUGCAAGUCGAACGGAAAGGCCCUGCUUUUGUGGGGUGCUCGAGUGGCGAACGGGUGAGUAACACGUGAGUAACCUGCCCUUGACUUUGGGAUAACUUCAGGAAAUUGGGGCUAAUACCGGAUAGGAGCUCCUGCUGCAUGGUGGGGGUUGGAAAGUUUCGGCGGUUGGGGAUGGACUCGCGGCUUAUCAGCUUGUUGGUGGGGUAGUGGCUUACCAAGGCUUUGACGGGUAGCCGGCCUGAGAGGGUGACCGGCCACAUUGGGACUGAGAUACGGCCCAGACUCCUACGGGAGGCAGCAGUGGGGAAUAUUGCACAAUGGGCGGAAGCCUGAUGCAGCAACGCCGCGUGCGGGAUGACGGCCUUCGGGUUGUAAACCGCUUUCGCCUGUGACGAAGCGUGAGUGACGGUAAUGGGUAAAGAAGCACCGGCUAACUAC